UUGGUCUUCAGAAAUUGUGAUACGAACCGAAUCGUGGGUUUGGUGUAUCGUUACAGCCCUAUUAAUGACUUCAAGGAUCACAG